rnacentral:rRNA from 1 species
AGCGAACGCUGGCGGCAGGCUUAACACAUGCAAGUCGAGCGGGCACUUCGGUGUCAGCGGCAGACGGGUGAGUAACACGUGGGAACGUACCCUUCGGUUCGGAAUAACGCUGGGAAACUAGCGCUAAUACCGGAUACGCCCUUUUGGGGAAAGGUUUACUGCCGAAGGAUCGGCCCGCGUCUGAUUAGCUAGUUGGUGGGGGAAUGGCCUACCAAGGCGACGAUCAGUAGCUGGUCUGAGAGGAUGAUCAGCCACACUGGGACUGAGACACGGCCCAGACUCCUACGGGAAGCAGCAGUGGGGAAUAUUGGACAAUGGGCGCAAGCCUGAUCCAGCCAUGCCGCGUGAGUGAUGAAGGCCUUAGGGUUGUAAAGCUCUUUUGUCCGGGACGAUAAUGACGGUACCGGAAGAAUAAGCCCCGGCUAACUUCGUG